UACGGAGGGGGCAAGCGUUUUUCGGAAUUACUGGGCGUAAAGGGUGCGUAGGCGGACCUUCAAGUCAGGGGUGAAAGGCCUGGGCUCAACCUGGGAACUGCCUUUGAAACUGGAGGUCUUGAGUCCGGGAGAGGAUGGGGGAAUUCCCAGUGUAGAGGGGAAAUUCGUAGAUAUUGGGAAGAACACCGGUGGCGAAGGCGGCCAUCUGGUCCGGCACUGACGCUGAGGCGCGAACGCGUGGGGAGCAAACAGG
rnacentral:rRNA from 1 species